rnacentral:lncRNA from 1 species
AGAGAGGGGAGGGCUUGCUGGAAGAUCUGCCAUCCUCUCGUCUUCCUCUGCUUGGGUGGAGAGCAGCGUCAACGGGAGAUUUCUCCCCCUUUUUUCUAUAGGCAGGAUCCCUGAGGCUAACCCGCCAUCCCGCUAUUCUUCAGGGAUACGGAAAUGUCCCCGGGACAGCUGUACUCUGCUGGCUGAGGAGCCCACAAGGUUAAUGAACACCCACAAAGACUGAGGAGGCGAGCAGCGUUCUCGGCGCGAUGAUUAGCAUGCCAGCAUUCUUUCCUUUGUGGUAAUGAUGGUCAAGAAGGUGCCUGGCGAUAGAGGGGAAAAUGGAGAGUUUCUGCUUCUUCUGCCUCCAAAGCUUAUUAAAAUUCAUUUUCA